UCUCCAGCCUACCAAGGUCCUGCUGAAUGGCAGCACAGCCUUUGAGAGUAUCAGCUUCUCCCACACUGUUUUUAUCACCGCAAAUUAAUCUGAAUUAUCCUGUAAGAUUGUGUGGAGAAUUUCCAGCUGGUGCCCGGCUGCCCCACAGCGAUGGCUCCUGCCCCUGAGCCCAGCAGGGAGGCCGGAGGGCAGGGAUCACACCGUGCUGUUCGCUUUGGUGGCCACCGGGUGUCAUUCUAGGAGCAGCCUUUGGCCAGCCCUGGAGCACGACUGUGGCAGCACACUUUCUCUUCUUCAUGGCAUGCUUUGAGCAUCAGUUACAGCUGACGAUAAGAACUCUGGUUUAUUGUGAGCAUUCCUUUCACAAUUAUAUUCUGCAGUAAAAGGCAACAGUCAUGGUAAUCAGUUUGAGCCCUGGGAAGUGUAUUCCAGAAUCCUGGAAUCAACCAGCUAAAGCUGAAACUGAAAGAGAGCGUACUUGCCAUCUGGAGUGAAACAGAAAACCCAUAGCAGCUGGUUGCUGGCUAUGUAACCAAAAGAAAAGAAAUUUGUAAGUAAUUGUCUGAAAUCUGUUAACUGGAGAGAAUAAAUGGAUAAUGAAGAAUACAGAAAGGAUAACUCUUUGGGAGCUGGACAGAAGAUAAAUCUGUGAACUGGAGUUCUGCUAUGGAAACAACAGCUUUCCCCUCUCUGGAGGACACUGUGCAAUGUUCAGACUUUGUGUUCACCAAGGUGUUACUGACUAAAGUCCAGCUGUGAGAGACCAGAGAAAUUGUCCAUUUGAACUGAACGUAAGCGCUCAGCUCCUGAGCAGAGAGGUCAAACGAGUCAACAGGAGGCAGGGUUACUGCCAGAGAGGCUUCAGAGCUGUAAAUGUGCUCCUGAUCCCUUGCAACACAGCACAAGACUCUUCAAGAUGCCAACCAAGUGUAAUGGUGCAAGCAGCCUGGCUUUUUGAGGGAAUACAAGGGUCUAUCCAAACUCUUUGGCUGGAAAAUCAUUCAGGUCAAAGGAUGCACCCAGCAGCAGGAAUGCCUUGGCCCACAGACUGUGGUAGCAUAGGUUAUUUACUGCCUGUGUACUCACCACACCUUGAUUCACCAUUGCCUCAAAAUGCUCUCAUCCUUAGCUAUAAGAA